rnacentral:rRNA from 1 species
CGGGAGGCAGCAGUGAGGAAUAUUGGACAAUGGGCGCAAGCCUGAUCCAGCCAUGCCGCGUGCAGGAUGACGGUCCUAUGGAUUGUAAACUGCUUUUAUACAGGAAGAAACACUACUUCGUGAAGUAGCUUGACGGUACUGUAAGAAUAAGGAUCGGCUAACUCCGUGCCAGCAGCCGCGGUAAUACGGAGGAUCCAAGCGUUAUCCGGAAUCAUUGGGUUUAAAGGGUCCGUAGGCGGUUUAAUAAGUCAGUGGUGAAAGCCCAUCGCUCAACGGUGGAACGGCCAUUGAUACUGUUAAACUUGAAUUAUUAGGAAGUAACUAGAAUAUGUAGUGUAGCGGUGAAAUGCUUAGAGAUUACAUGGAAUACCAAUUGCGAAGGCAGGUUACUACUAAUUGAUUGACGCUGAUGGACGAAAGCGUGGGUAGCGAACAGGAUUAGAUACCCUGGUAGUCCACGCCGUAAACGAUGGAUACUAGCUGUUGGGAGCAAUCUCAGUGGCUAAGCGAAAGUGAUAAGUAUCCCACCUGGGGAGUACGUUCGCAAGAAUGAAACUCAAAGGAAUUGACGGGGGCCCGCACAAGCGGUGGAGCAUGUGGUUUAAUUCGAUGAUACGCGAGGAACCUUACCAAGGCUUAAAUGUAGAUUGACCGGUUUGGAAACAGAUCUUUCGCAAGACAAUUUACAAGGUGCUGCAUGGUUGUCGUCAGCUCGUGCCGUGAGGUGUCAGGUUAAGUCCUAUAACGAGCGCAACCCCUGUUGUUAGUUGCCAGCGAGUCAUGUCGGGAACUCUAACAAGACUGCCAGUGCAAACUGUGAGGAAGGUGGGGAUGACGUCAAAUCAUCACGGCCCUUAUGGGUAGGGCUACACACGUCAUACAAUGGCCGGUACAGAGGGCUGCCAACCCGCGAGGGGGAGCUAAUCUCAGAAAACCGGUCGUAGUCCGGAUCGCAGUCUGCAACUCGACUGCGUGAAGUCGGAAUCGCUAGUAAUCGCGGAUCAGCUUGCCGCGGUGAAAAGAUCCCGGGCCUUGUACACACCGC